AACGAACGCUGGCGGCGCGCCUAAUACAUGCAAGUCGAACGAGAAGCUGUAGCAAUACAGUUGUACAGUGGCGAACGGGUGAGGAAUACAUGGGUGACCUACCCUCGAGUGGGGAAUAACCAGCCGAAAGGUUGGCUAAUACCGCGUACGCUUCCCAGUCUACGGGUUGGGAAGGAAAGCGAUGCCGUGGGUAUCGCGCUCAAGGUUGGGCUCAUGUCCUAUCAGCUUGNGGUGGGGUAACGGCUCACCGAGGCAACGACGGGUAGCUGGUCUGAGAGGACGAUCAGCCACACUGGCACUGCGACACGGGCCAGACUCCUACGGGAGGCAGCAGUAAGGAAUAUUGCGCAAUGGGCGAAAGCCUGACGCAGCGACGCCGCGUGGGGGA
rnacentral:rRNA from 1 species